rnacentral:rRNA from 1 species
GAUGAACGCUGGCGGCGUGCCUAAUACAUGCAAGUCGAGCGAACGGACGAGAAGCCUGCUUCUCUGAUGUUAGCGGCGGACGGGUGAGUAACACGUGGAUAACCUACCUAUAAGACUGGGAUAACUUCGGGAAACCGGAGCUAAUACCGGAUGAUAUUUUGAACCGCAUGGUUCAAAAGUGAAAGACGGUCUUGCUGUCACUUAUAGAUGGAUCCGCGCUGCAUUAGCUAGUUGGUAAGGUAAUGGCUUACCAAGGCAACGAUGCAUAGCCGACCUGAGAGGGUGAUCGGCCACACUGGAACUGAGACACGGUCCAGACUCCUACGGGAGGCAGCAGUAGGGAAUCUUCCGCAAUGGGCGAAAGCCUGACGGAGCAACGCCGCGUGAGUGAUGAAGGUCUUCGGAUCGUAAAACUCUGUUAUUAGGGAAGAACAUAUGUGUAAGUAACUGUGCACAUCUUGACGGUACCUAAUCAGAAAGCCACGGCUAACUACGUG